UACGUAGGGUGCGAGCGUUGUCCGGAAUUAUUGGGCAUAAAGGGCUCGUAGGCGGUUUGUCGCGUCGGGAGUGAAAACCAUGGGCUUAACUCAUGGCUUGCUUUCGAUACGGGCAGACUAGAGGUAUGCAGGGGAGAACGGAAUUCCUGGUGUAGCGGUGAAAUGCGCAGAUAUCAGGAGGAACACCGGUGGCGAAGGCGGUUCUCUGGGCAUGAUCUGACGCUGAGGAGCGAAAGUGUGGGGAGCGAACAGG
rnacentral:rRNA from 1 species